GCAACGCCUUCGGAUGACUUGUGGUAAGGAGUGAAAAGCUAAUCGAACGAGGAAAUAGCUGGUUCUCUCCGAAAUAGUUUUUGGACUAGCCUCGGAUCAUGCUUGACGGGAGGUAAAGCACUGGAUCGUCCAUAAUUGCCGAAAGGCAGGUGGACGAAUCAAACUCUGAAUGCCCGUUCAGUUAUUCCGGGAGUCAGUACGCGGGGGCUAAGCUCCGCGGUACAUGAGGGGAAGAGCCCUGAUCACAAACUAAGGCCCCUAAAUCCAUGCUCAGUGGUUAAGGUGGUGAAGUUUCUCAAACAGCAAGGAGGUUGGCUUAGAAGCAGCCACCCUUUAAAGAGUGCGUAACAGCUCACUUGUCAAGAGACUUUGCGCUAAAAAUUCAACGGGGCUAAGCAUGGUGCCGAAGUUGUGGGUUAUGUGCCUGAAUUUUGGAACACGAAGUGUUCCAAGAAAGGAAAAACAAGAUGAAAGACGGUGCGCGACGAAAGGUCCAGCUUAACAAAGCAACGAAGGACCUGAAAAUCAACGAACGCGUUAGAGGAUCGCACGUCUCAUGAAUAUCUAGCUGAUCGCUUACGCGAUCAGCUCCAAAAUUCAGGCACAUAGCGGUAGGAGAGCAUUUCAAAUGCCGUGAAGGUCGACCCGCGAGGGCGACUGGAGCGUUUGGAAGAGAGAAUGUUGGCACAAGUAACCACAAGACAGGUGAAAACCCUGUCCGCCGAAAACCCAAGGUUUCCUUGGCAAUGACAAUCAUCCAAGGUUUAGUCGGCCCUAAGGCAAUGGCGAAAGCCGCAGCCGAUGGAAGGCUGGUUAAUAUUCCAGCACUGUAUUUUUGAUCGAUGGCGGGUCGGAGCGAAGUAUAUCAGGCGUAUUAUUGGAUUUACGUUUGCGGUGUGAGGAUUGGGCGUAGGAAAAUCCGCGCCCGUGGGGGAAACUCCGGAUCCAAGCAUUGUGAAAAUCAUGCGGGGCAACCCAAUUGAAAUCUGAUAAAGCUCGCUUCCAAGAAAAGCGUCUAAGAUUAUCAAAAAUGCAACCGUACCGGAAACCGACACAGGUGGGUUGGUCGAGUAGACCAAGGCGAACGAGUGAGUCUUCGUUAAGGAACUAGGCAAAAAAGCAGCCGUAAGUUCGCGAUAAGGCUUGCCCUGUGCGCAGCACAGGGAAAUUCUAAAUUCUAAUUUCUAAACUCUAAACAAAUUCAAAAUUCUAAACUCAAAUUUUUCCAAACAUGUUUUUGGUUUUUUGAAGAUCGGGAUUUGUUUAGGAUUUAGGAUUUCGGGUUUAGGAUUUUCCCGUGCUGUGCGCGGGGCUGCAACAAAAGUACCCCUGGCGACUGUUUACCAAAAACACAGGUCCCUGCUAACUCGUAAGAGGAUGUAUAGGGGCUGACGCCUGACCGAUGCGAGAAGGUCAAAGAUUGCCGUAUAGGUGUUGAGAUUAUAUCAAGAUGUUUAUGCACGCGGUCUUAAGCCCUCGUCAAUGUCAGCAAUAACUAUAAUUGUUCUAAGGUAGCGCAAUUCCUUUUCGGGUAAGUUCCGAAGCGCACGAAAGGCGUAACGAUCGGGGGACUGUCUCAACGAAGAGCUCGGUGAAAAUACAAUGCCGGUGAAGAUGCCGGUUACCUGCAGUUAGACGAAAAGACCCCGGGAGCUUUACUGUAGCUUGGUAUUGGGUCUAGGUUUUUUCUGCGUAGCAUAGGCGGGAGAGGUUGAUCCCCGGUUUUCGGAUCGGGGGGACUCGUCAGUGAAAUACCGCUCUUAAAAAACUUAGAUUCUAACCAGUUGGGAACACCGUAGUGUUCGUAAAUUUCUAAUUGACCUAAUUGAUCUAAUUAUUCUAAUCAAUAACCAGUUAGACAAAUUCCAAAUCACAAGUCACAAAUCACAAACAAAUUCAAAGGCACAAAUUCGAAAUUAAAAAACGUUUUGAAUUUUAGCCGUUUGAAUUUCGGUAUUAUUUGUAAUUUGGUGCUUGUAAUUUGUGAUUUUUAAACAUUGGGAUUUGAUUAGAAAUUAGAAUAAUUAGAAAUUGGUCAUUUAUGGGCUUCACGGUGAAGCCCAACUGAGACAGUGCCUGGUGGGCAGUUUGUUUGGGGCGAAACUCUUAGGGUGAUUGAUUCACUCCGUUUCAAUCACAAGGGAGCUCCGCGCUUCAGUGGCUGUUGGACAGCUUCUUAUCGCGGAGAAUAAAAUUCGGCUGUAUGCUGGAACACCCGUGUAUCUCCAAAUACCUUGAUGAA
rfam:Candidatus Sungbacteria bacterium RIFCSPLOWO2_01_FTLL_47_10 rifcsplowo2_01_scaffold_9702, whole genome shotgun sequence.